rnacentral:rRNA from 1 species
AUUGAACGCUGGCGGCAUGCUUUACACAUGCAAGUCGAACGGUAACAGGCCGCAAGGUGCUGACGAGUGGCGAACGGGUGAGUAAUGCAUCGGAACGUGCCCAGUCGUGGGGGAUAACGCAGCGAAAGCUGCGCUAAUACCGCAUACGAUCUAUGGAUGAACGCGGGGGACCGUAAGGCCUCGCGCGAUUGGAGCGGCCGAUGUCAGAUUAGGUAGUUGGUGGGGUAAAGGCUCACCAAGCCAACGAUCUGUAGCUGGUCUGAGAGGACGACCGGCCACACAUGGACUGAGAAAUGGCCCAGACGCCUACGGGAGGCAGCAGUAGUGAAUUUUGGACAAUGGGCGCAAGCCUGAUCCAGCAAUGCCGCGUGCAGGAAGAAGGCCUUCGUGUUGUAAACUGCUUUUGUACGGAACGAAACGGUCCUGGUUAAUACCCGGGGCUAAUGACGGUACCGUAAGAAUAAGCACCGGCGAACUACGUGCCAGCCGCCGCCGUAA